rnacentral:pre_miRNA from 1 species
GUGCAUUACUGGGCAAUGACUUUUUUUGGCAGUAGUUCACUUGAUCUUUCAGAUGAUGCAAACAAACUCACUGCCAAAGAAGAUUUGCCCCGCAAUUCACUC